AUUGAACGCUGGCGGCAGGCUUAACACAUGCAAGUCGAACGAGUGGCGGACGGGUGAGUAAUGUUUGGGAAUCUGGCUUAUGGAGGGGGAUAACGACGGGAAACUGUCGCUAAUACCGCGUACCAUAGGAUGAGCCCAUGUGGGAUUAGGUAGUUGGUGGGGUAAAGGCCUAUCAAGCCGACGAUCCCUAGCUGGUCUGAGAGGCUGACCAGCGCAACCGGGACGGAGACACGGCCCAGACUCCUACGGGAGGCAGCGGUGGGGAAUAUUGCGCAAUGGGGGCAACCUGACGCAGCCAGGCCGCGUGAAUGAAGAAGGCCUUGGGGUUGUAAAGUUCUUUCGGUGACGAGGCGUUACUCACAGAAGAAGCACCGGCUAACUCCGUGCCAGCAGCCGCGGUAAUUC
rnacentral:rRNA from 1 species